AAAUGCGAUAAGUAAUGUGAAUUGCAGAAUUCAGUGAAUCAUCGAAUCUUUGAACGCACAUUGCGCCCGCCAGCACUCUGGCGGGCAUGCCUGUUCGAGCGUCAUUUCAACCCUCAGAACCCCUUGCGGGAUCUGGCGUUGGGGAUUGGCAUCCAGCCAGCCCCGAAAUCUAGCGGCGGUCCCUCCGCGACCUCCCCUGUGCAGUAGCGAUACCUCGCACCGGGACAGCGGUCUGACCACGCCGUAAAACCCCCAACUUCUCAAGGUUGACCUCGAAUCAGGUAGGAAUACCCGCUGAACUUAAGC
rnacentral:misc_RNA from 1 species